rnacentral:snRNA from 1 species
AAAAUAUAAACUGCUGGAAUCUG